rnacentral:rRNA from 1 species
UAGGGAAUCUUCGGCAAUGGACGGAAGUCUGACCGAGCAACGCCGCGUGAGUGAAGAAGGUUUUCGGAUCGUAAAGCUCUGUUGUAAGAGAAGAACGAGUGUGAGAGUGGAAAGUUCACACUGUGACGGUAUCUUACCAGAAAGGGACGGCUAACUACGUGCCAGCAGCCGCGGUAAUACGUAGGUCCCGAGCGUUAUCCGGAUUUAUUGGGCGUAAAGCGAGCGCAGGCGGUUAGAUAAGUCUGAAGUUAAAGGCUGUGGCUUAACCAUAGUACGCUUUGGAAACUGUUUAACUUGAGUGCAGAAGGGGAGAGUGGAAUUCCAUGUGUAGCGGUGAAAUGCGUAGAUAUAUGGAGGAACACCGGUGGCGAAAGCGGCUCUCUGGUCUGUAACUGACGCUGAGGCUCGAAAGCGUGGGGAGCAAACAGGAUUAGAUACCCUGGUAGUCCACGCCGUAAACGAUGAGUGCUAGGUGUUGGGUCCUUUCCGGGACUCAGUGCCGCANCUNACGCAUUAAGCACUCCGCCUGGGGAGUACGACCGCAAGGUUG